rnacentral:lncRNA from 1 species
CCAGGAAGACCACAAGUAAAAUAAGACUCAUGAGAAGAACGAGAACUCACAAAUCCGACUAAUCUGGCAUAGCCAGCACACCUAGCAUAGCCCAUAAAUGAACCUUUCAUAGACUGUUCACCGCCCUUAUUAGAGCGCUCACUAGAAAUAAACUGAUCCCCAUCAGCUAUCUGAAGAGCUGCCUGAACUGAUUAACUUUAAGGCUGAAAAGAUGGGCGUAGAGGAUGUCUAGCAUAAGAAAUACCACUCCUCAGUUGAGAACUACCACGGCUCCCACCAAAUCUACCCUGGAAUCUAG